GUGGUUAAUUCGAUGCAACGCGAAGAACCUUACCUGGUCUUGACAUCCCGGAGACCUUAGGAAACUAGGGGGUGGCUUCCAUCUGGAAGAAUCUGGAGACAGGUGCUGCAUGGCUGUCGUCAGCUCGUGUCGUGAGAUGUUGGGUUAAGUCCCGCAACGAGCGCAACCCUUGCCUUUAGUUGCCAGCAGUUCGGCUGGGCACUCUAAAGGGACUGCCGGUGUUAAACCGGAGGAAGGUGGGGAUGACGUCAAGUCCUCAUGGCCUUUAUGACCAGGGCUACACACGUACUACAAUGGCCGAUACAAAGGGCAGCGACACUGCGAGGUGAAGCCAAUCCCGUAAAAUCGGUCUCAGUCCGGAUUGGAGUCUGCAACUCGACUCCAUGAAGUUGGAAUCGCUAGUAAUCGUGGAUCAGCAUGCCACGGCGAAUACGUUCCCGGGCCUU
rnacentral:rRNA from 1 species